rnacentral:rRNA from 1 species
GACAGAGGGUGCAAACGUUGUUCGGAAUUACUGGGCGUAAAGCGCGUGUAGGCGGCCCUGCAAGUCGGAUGUGAAAUCCCACGGCUCAACCGUGGAAGUGCAUUCGAAACUGCAGGGCUAGAGUCCUGGAGAGGAAGGUGGAAUGCUUGGUGUAGAGGUGAAAUUCGUAGAUAUCAAGCGGAACACCGGUGGCGAAGGCGGCCUUCUGGACAGUGACUGACGCUGAGCCGCGAAAGCCAGGGGAGCGAACGGG